UGCGUGGGCGGAUUAAUAAGUCAGUGGUGAAAUCUUUCGGCUCAACCGAGAAACUGCCAUUGAUACUGUUAAUCUUGAGUUCGGUUGAGGUAGGCGGAAUGUGUAAUGUAGCGGUGAAAUGCUUAGAUAUUACACAGAACACCAAUUGCGUAGGCAGCUUACUAGACCGACACUGACGCUGUGGCACGAAAGCGUGGGGAGCGAACAGGAUUAGAUACCCUGGUAGUCC
rnacentral:rRNA from 1 species